GUGAGAACCUGGUAGGGCUCCUGAAGGUAGAACUCCGAAAAGUGUGGGGACCUCCUAGGAAGGCCCCACUGGGAGAUUUUAAUUCUCAAACUUGUCCAAACUGAGUCUCCAGCAAUUCAUAAAUUACAGCUUUAGAUUUCAAUCCCAGUACUAGUUCCAGCAGAGAUUUCUGCUCCAGGGAAUUGGAUUUCUGUGUCUGCUUAUCUGUCUCUCCAGUUUUUGGGGGGUGUCCAUUUGUCUCAAGACCUCAAUUCUCUCAUGGACCUAAGAAGAGCUGUUGAUUUUUAAUUUAUUCAGCUUUCUAUUUGUUUUUAGAAUGCAGUAGUGACUUCUGAACUCCUAUAUGCUGGCCAAAAAAAGAAAAUCAGUUUUAUUUUGAUUUUUGUUGAAUGAACAUUCUUCUUUAAAAGUAAUCUAAAGAUCAUGUCUACAGAAGCUGAGUGAUCAUAGUUCCUGCUCUAUUAGCCAUUCAUCUGGAGAAACAAAUGAGGAAUAUAAAGAUUCUAUUUGCUGGAACCAGCUAAGGCAACUUUCCUAUAAAGGCCCCUUUGAUGAUACAAACUUCUUCUUCCUCAAAGUUUAUCCCUAGAUCAGGUAUCUUUUCUUUUAAACUGUCUUUUUUUUUAACUUUGGAAAACUUGAGGAUUUUCAGUCUAUGUUUGAUAAUUUUUGUUUAUGUGUUCAAAUUAAAGCCAGGGGAAUGAGUAACACUAGCCUGUAGAGACUGGUAGGAUAUUGGCAGUCUUCUAAUCAAUUUCACUUUGCAGAUGAGGAUAUAGAAGACACAGGGAUCUGAAGAAUCUAGGCAUGUUCAAGGUCAGAUAAGUUAGAAAUAGACUGCCCCAUUCAUAGGCAUGACAUCAUUAGUAUGUUGGGAUUUGUGUAUGAGUGGUAAUAGGGCAUCUGCUGUGGACAAAUUAUUUAGAAUCUCUAGAUUGUUUAAAAUAGAUUGCAUUUUAAAAAAUUAUCACUAGACAAAUGGAGACUUGACAGGUUUUCAUAAAUUACAUAGUAAUAAGUGAUAUUAUAUAUAACAUGAUAACUAUGGCCAAAUAGUUAUUCGUUAAUAUAUUCUUUUUUCUACAUUUACUGUUUUUCUCUGCUCACAUUCAGUCUUUACAUUCACUUAUUCCCUGCUUCCUGUUAACCCUAAAAAUCCUUUACUAUUCAACAGUGUAGGAGACGAAGAAUAUAUUUCCCUUACCCAUCGUAGGUUUAUGGCUGAGGCCCCUAUAACAAAAGACAGAAUAAGGAGGAAAAAGCAUACGAACUUAUUUAAUACACCUUUUAUGUGACAUGGGAGCCUUCAUAAGUAAAUGAAGACCCAAAGAAAUAGAUAAACAUGUUUAUCUUUUAUGCUAGGUUUGAUGAAGAAGUAAAUAGUCAUAAAGAUUGGAUAUAAAGUGUGAUCUAAUAGUAAUAAACCAGAAGAAACAUAGCAAGCCUGUUGGUUCAGUUUUCUUUCUUUGCCCCUGUGCCUUCAGAUAAGAGGAUAUUCCUUUCUCACCGGAGGGUUUUAUGACCUGUUUCAGGACAGAAGGGCAAGAGAAGGUGAGAGUGACUUUCCUGCUUCUGCUGUUUUCGCAAAUGCCAAGGUGUCAUAUUUGGGGGUAGCAUGUCCUCAACUCCUAUCCACAGUUUUGAUUUUUGAUGCAGAGGCUGGGACUGACUGUGCAUGAAUAUUGAAUAGACUUAGGAUUCGUGGAACAUCAGAGGACACAGAUGUAGAUGCAAGCUCAUUUGAACUAUGUCUAGAAGGUCUGCUACUUCAAACAGAUGCGGUUUUGAGACCAGCAAUUUAAUGAGAGACAAGGAGAGUCUAGGAAUAAAGUGGAUUUAGUUGGGAUUGAGAUUGGAAAAGAGCACAAUUAAAACUAGAGGACUCUCAUGGGAACAAGUAGUCCUCUUGGGUGUAUGCAUGUGUACGUGAAUCUGAUUGGAGGUGGAAGAAUGGCAUGUAGGAGAGAAAAACCAGUGUUCUGAGGCAGCAGGUGUUCUGUAAGACAGACCAGGAAGAGGUAGUAAGGCAGCCAGAAAGCUACCAUGGUACACCAGAGAAGCCAAAUUAUUCUUGAGGUACCCACUGAGCUUGUCAGCUGCAAUGGCUAAGAGGUAAGUUGUACUUAUGAGUUUUAAGGAGAAAUGCUAGCUCUUUUAACUGGAAUGGCCACAGGUCAUUUGUUCUUGUGGCAGAUGGCUGGUCUGCUGUGACUCUGAAGGUAAUUUUACCUAUUAACAGAAUCUGAAAGACAAAACUUGCUUUCAGUGAUGUCAUAAAUGCUCUUCACUUUCAUCUAUUUCAGUGGCUGAUAAUGUUCCUUACUUCUGUAGCUGAGAUUUCCCAACUUAAUUUGGGUUCUCAUCAGGGUAGAAUUCCAUCCAAGUCAAUCGCAGCAUCUGCACCCACAGCUCUGAGAAGGGAAAGAUGUGCUUGGUGGUGGCCCCAAGUUUGCAGUAUCGGAUUGGACUCAUUAGAAUUACAAGGAAAUGAAAUAAAGAAAGGUAAAACUGGAUUUCAAAGAGUCUAAGUGUGGCUGCUGUCGUGCGGAGGUGGUGACAUGCAGACAUGCAAGCUUGGAAGCUAUGCAAGAAACAGAGCUGUGUGUCUGAAUAUCACCAUGGUUACGGUCUAUAAAAAAUAAUGAGGAGAGAAAAAUAAGAGCACUGGAGUUUGAAGGCUUGUUUUCUAAAAUUGGUUUUUAUCUAUUUGUCUGAUAAAAAUGAAAAGAUCCUGUGGUUUGCAUUAUCUUGACUAAAUCAAAAGCCAAAACCAAAUUAUAAAUUUAUCCUUAAGUGCUCACUGCUAAACAUUCAAGAAUGUUUGUGCUGUCUUUCCCUCCCCUUGACAUCAUGAAUCUUAGGUUUAAUGAAUCAUUGUGAGAUAUCAAGUCAUCCUCUAAUCUGAUGCUGAGCUACAAUCAAAAUUCAGUGAUGACUUUCUAUCUUUCACCCACUACUUCUUAGGCUUGUUGUCACUGAUGCAGUGACAUCGUUCUUGAAUUUCAAUGCUUCUUGCAUCCAGCUGUGGCCAUUGAUUCACUCAUUGAAUUUGAUGGUGUUAAGCACAAUAAGAAAGAUGACUUAAUGGGCCUUAAAUGUUCACUCUUAUUGAAACCAUUCUGCAAUUUUCAUUACCAAGAGAAGUCCCUGCUGCAAUGUUAUUCUGUUGACUUCCCAAAUGCUUCUGGUAAGCAAAGAUACAGGGAAAUGCGGUCCACACCAGCUGUUUCAAUCUAAUUGAGAAAGAAACUAAGUGCUGAUAUUUAGUAAAAGUCUACAAAAAUGCUCUUUUUUUCUUAAUGACGAAAGGACAAAAGGCAUUGCAUCUUCACAAUUAAAGGAAAGCAUGAACAUCGGCGGUUUUCCAAAAUUAGCAUUCUUAGACAAUAUGAAGACCCGUAUUUUUAGAUGAUUCCUUAAUAUUAGAAAAUAUAUACUGAAAGGGAUCAGAGUAUGCCACCCCAAAAUAUAGCACUUUGGCAUAAGGAUUAUUUUGAGCCGAAGGCAACUGAGAAACAGUAAACAUUGAAAAGACUUCUACCCUCCUGUAUUUGGCUAAAAUCAGGUCAUAAAUUUCCCUUCGUGAAGGUGCCCCACCUUCUCCCUUCUCUUGUGCCAGGAAAGGGAGAAUGGUUUGUAAUCACCAGAGAUGAUCUCCAGGGGUGUCCAAUCUUUUGGCUUCCCUGGGCCACAGUGGAAGAAGAAGAAUUGUCUUGGGCCACACAUAAAAUACACUAACAUUAACACUAACAAUAGCUGAUGAGAAAAAAAAAAUCACAAAAAAACUUAGAACCUUUUAAGAAAGUUUAUGAAUUUGUGUUGGGCUGCAUUCAAAGCCAUUCUGGGCCACAUGUAGCCCACAGGCAGUGGAUUGGACAAGCUUGACCUAGGCUCAGCCCAGAGACAGCAACUGAGAGGAAUCUGAAUAACAGACCUUACUAAACAACCCUUAUCUUUCAUUAGUUUCUCCUACAGAUUUACCUUCCCACAAUUAACCACCCUUAAAAGCCUAAUCCUGUUUUCCUUCAUCUUGUCACUUCCACAGUUUGUUGCUCUAUGUUAAAAUGCUGUGUAUCCCUGGGUUUAACUGCUUUUUUGGGUCUUUGCUUUUUUUCUAUGAAGGACUUCAUAUGCAUAUGUGAUAAAUGAUUUUUCCUGUUAAUCUCCCUUUUGUAGGUUUAACUUGCAGGGCACCAGCCACUGAACUUACGAGGGUAGAGGAAAAAAUUUCCCUUUCUUACAAUAUCCGUCUGGUUUAAGGUGAACUAAGAAAUGGCAAAUUUUAAAAUUGAUGUACCUUCUGAAGAUGCUGAAAAUAACUUCUUUGGUUACUUUUGAUGUAUCUUACAUGAGUAAUUCAGGAAAUAUUUAAUAACAACCAGCACUAAGCCCAAGAUUAGACAAAAGCACUCAGGAAUUAUGCAAUUAGUUAUUUAUUUUUUCCAUAAAUUGUAGGAGCUUUGUGGUCAGGAGAGGCCAUUAUCUUUUUCAAGAUACUAUACCUUCACGUUCAGAUAUAAUAAACCAAAAAAUCUCCAAACGUUCAUCCUUUCAGGGUUACCAGUGUUGAGUGCCAAGUGGUGGUAGUCUACUUUUGACUGUUCUGGAGGUCUUAUUUUUUUAGAAAAAUCUCAAAAAAUAGAAUGUUUACUUUAAAUGUGUGCAUUUUAUAUGUGUUUAUGAACAUGUAUGUGUGUGUAUAUAUAUGUGUGUGUAUAUGUAUACAUAUGUAUGUAGACACAUGUGUACAUGUAUCUGUAAAAUAUCACUCAAAGUCAAAUAUCUUUUAUGUUAGCUCAAGUCUAAGAAUGCUUGACACUUUACUGAAAGCAGAUAUUUUAAAUGAAAUUUGACUUUUGUCUUCUUUAUAAUUUCUAAUAAUAUCGGUUGCCUGUCAUAAACUGAAAAACACAUUUGCUAUCUUAGGCAGAAUAAUAAAUAUGGGUUGUAAAUAGUGUCUUUCAUGGAUAAUUAAACUUUUUUUAUUAAGAAUGAUAAUAGAGUUUACUGUAAAUGUGGCUAUCUUCCCAUUACUUAUAUUUUUGAAUGUCAUUGGAAACAUUGAAAAAAAUAGUGUGCUACUCCCUAACUUUACUUCUUUUACUCCAUCCACAUAGAAUAUAGUAGAAAUCUCUUUCAAGUUUUGUUUUCUAUUAUUUUGAGAAAAAUAUUCUCUUCACAUGUAUUUCCCCAGAAGGACAUUCUCUGACAUAACUAUAGUACAAUGAUCCCAUUUUGGCGUGUGAUAUUGAUACUAUAUAUCACGUUAUCCAUGGUCCAUAUUCGCUUUGGCUGGCUGUCCCAAUUUUUUCCUUGGUUCCUCACUCACUCCAGGACCCUCCACUGGACUUGUUAUCAUGGUUCUCUAGAUUACUUCAAUCUGAAAGAGUUUCUCAACCAUUGUUUUUAAUCUUGAGAUUUAAAAAAAUUAUAGGACACUUAUUUUAUGGAAUGUCCCUCAGUGUGGGUUUGUUUGCUGAUUCCUCAAGAUUAAAUUCCAGUUUUGCUUUUUCUGCAGGAAUACCACAGGAACACAUGGUGCUAUUCCCAGUGCAUCACAUCAGGAGGCACGUUGUUGUUUGUCCUAAAAUUGCAGGUGUUAAUGUUGAUUGGUUGAUUAAAGCUUCUCCAGUGUGAAGUUAUUCCUUUUCCCCUUUGUAAUUAGUAAGUAGUUUGUGGGGAGAUACUUUGAGAUGAUAUAUAAAUUUUUUUCUCAUCAAAUAUUCACCUAAUUAGCUUUAGCUUCAAGUAAUUCAAUGAUAUUUUCUUACUUCAUCAUUCCCUCUAUAUUUACUAGUAUACAUUCCCCUUUAAGGGAGACUUUUUCUAUUUAUUUAUCUAUUAAUUUACUCAUUGAUUCUUUUUUUUUCAAUGAAUUACAAUCUAUUAGAGUUAUUUAUUUUGAUAGUCAAAUGACAUGAGUUUGGCCAAUGAGAGCCUCCUGUGUCUUUUGGAUAGGAUUCCAUCAUUAUUCGAAAACUUUUGUCACUCUCUGUUGCAACAAGAGAUUCCAGCUUAUCAUUAUUUCCCUUCAUCAACCCCAGAAUCAGUCAUUUCUCUAAGGAGCCGUGGUUUCUUUUAGUGAAGAUUAAUAUUCAGAAACCAAGAUCUGGGUUAUAGAUGUACUUACUGUUAUUAGCGUGUUGUUGCUUCUCAGCUCUCUCUAGAAAACAUAUGUACAUAUUUAGAUAUCUUUAUUUCUAUAUUUAUUUAUCAUAGAUUAGCUGUUAUUCUAGAGCUUUAUAAAAAUGGAAUCAUAACGGAAGCUGUGUCGUUCAUCUGGGGUAAUAGCUGAGUUUCGUUUUCCCAUUGCCACGGAAAACUAGGGCGCAGACACACCAGCGUGACGUUAAGAGCAGAAGUUUAAUAGGUGAAAGAAAGAGAAGAGCUCUCUCUGCUGCAGAGAGAGGGGUCCCGGAGAAAAAUGGGUUGCUGGUUCCUUCUCGAAAUGCACGGGGUUUUAUAGAUGAGCUUGAGGAGGCGGUGUCUGAUUUACAUAGGGCAAACAAGAUUGGUCGGACCAGGUGCGCCAUUUGUAUAGCGAGGAAGAAUCUGGCCACCCCACCCAAAUCUUUUAUUUUGCAGAUGGUUCUCUACCUGUCCGAUGCCAUGUUGCCUAUUCCUUACUGUACAUAUGGUGACAAAGAAAGGAAAGAUGGAGCCUGCAUGUUGAACAUGUCUGGCCCCCAGGUAGCCUUUUCCUAUUGGCACAGCUGCUGACAUUCAUCCAUGCAAGCUUCUAACUUGCUUAUUUAUGUCUGCAGCUUAAUUUUUCAGGCUGCUCUUUUUUAGGAAAUAAAUGAUUUGGAGGCUGCUUUUUAUUAAAAGGGAAACCUUACCAAUGAAUCUCUUACCAUCACUAACUACCUAAAUAAUUUCUUUUUAGCUCCCAUAUCAUAACCAUGUAUUCUUUUUGUUCAGCUUUUUUCAUUCAGCAUAAUGGUUAUGAAAGGCAUCCAGGUUGUUCCCCAUAUCAGUAAUUUGUUCUUUUUUAUUCCAGAGUAGCAUCUUGUAUGAGAAUACUUCAAAUUUUUAUCCAUCCUUUUGCUGAUGGACUUUUGGAUUGUUUCUAGUUUUAGACUACUACAAAAAAAGGUGCUACACACAUUCUUGUCCACAUCUUUUUGUUGCCAUUUAUUUUCAUUUCUAUUGGAUAAAAAUCUAAAAGUGGAGUUAUUGGGUUGAGGAAUAUUUUACCCUUUAAUUUAACUUUUUAAGAAAAUUAUAGG